GACGAACGCUGGCGGCGUGCUUAACACAUGCAAGUCGAGCGGAAAGGCCCUUCGGGGUUCUCGUGCGGCGAACGCGAGCGUAACACGUGAGUGACCUGACCCAGACUUUGGGAUAACCAUCGGUAACGGGGGCUAAUACUGGAUACGACUCAGCUUCGCUUGGGGAUUGUGUGGAAUGGUAUGCGGCUUGGGAUGGGCUCGGGGCCUAUCAGCUUGUUGGUGGGGGGGUGGCUUACCAAGGCGAUGACGGGUAGCCGGCCUGAGAGGGUGACCGGCCACAUUGGGACUGAGACACGGCCCAGACUCCUACGGGAGGCAGCAGUGGGGAAUAUUGCACAAUGGGCGGAAGCCUGAUGCAGCGACGCCGCGUGCGGGAUGACGGCCUUCGGGUUGUAAACCGCUUUCAGCAGUGACGAAGCGUGAGUGACGGUACCUGCAAAAGAAGCACCGGCCAACUACGUG
rnacentral:rRNA from 1 species